GAUUUAGUGACUUUCAAGUCAAGCAAAUUAGUUGAUGAACAGGGAUCAUACGAGAAUAUCGUUCUUAAUAGAAAAGGCAGAGAUGAAUAAAAACCCUUAAGAUCAAAACACCGAAAGGAUUAAGCCAAUUGAGUUCCAAUCAGCAUACUUUUCAGUAGGCCAAAGAGGGUAUCUGCAGCAAUGCUCAAUGAGUUCUUUUCCAAAAUUGGUACCUAAGUGAUGAUGUGAUUGAUACUAUCAUAAUAUAGGGGGAAACACUGAUGGCCCUUCUCCCCCUCACUAUUUGCAGCACUUCCUUCGGGACAGUUGGUGGUCUUGUUAGAGACAGAAGAGCCCAGCCAGCAUAUCCAGGGCUAGGUAUUUCCGACCUAUAAUGGUGCAUCUGGGAGAGACUGGAGAUGAAUGGGCUGAGAGUUCUGACCGUCAAAUGAUGAAGCUCACGUGAGUGCCACUGUGAAUACAGUUAUUUCUGGGAGUAAACCUUCUUUUCCCCUUGUCUCCUUGGACUUUGGUAGAAUGUCUUCUCAUGAACGUCUCGGUGGGUUCUGUCCUUGCUUAACAAAUCCGGCUCCUAGGUCGUCUGUGUAGUACAUGCUCUCAGAAUCUCCAAUGUGCCAGACCCAGGCAGCUGUUCCUGUUUGAUUGUCGACUCAACUAUGAACUGUUCCUCCUGACAUUUGCUUGUGAAGAUAGCUUUGGCAGACUUGUGAAGAAGCAGACAAGGCGAUUUUGUGUCGGUGAAAAUGCAUCAACAUUUUAAUUGUUUUAGUUCCUUUUCUGUCCAGAGAGCUCUUGAAACUUUGCCCAUUCUGCCUGGAAAUCCUGGACAUUGAUUCUGCCUUGGGGGUUCGUGGUGCUCAGGUAGCCCCAGUGUCCUCCAAAAAAAGUCAUCUUGUUUCAUCUAUAAUAACAUCUCAAAAAAAAGUGAGUGAAACAAAAUAUAUAUUACCAGCUCUAUGUGACUUCUCUUAUCCUCACAUACUCUUAAUUAUAUUUCUGUUGAUGUGGAAAUAGCAAAUAGCCUGCUGGCCUUUUUAGCAUGUGCCUAGCACACCAGCAGAAGAACAUAUUGGAGAAAAAUUAUUAAUUGAAAUUUCAAAAUAUAUAAGUAGUCUUUAUGGGGGGCGGGAAUCUAUCCCUGGAUAAUUUU
rnacentral:lncRNA from 1 species